rnacentral:miRNA from 1 species
UAUUAGGUUGGUGCAAAAGUAAUUGCAGUUUUUGCAUUAUUUUUAAUGGGAAAAACUGUAAUUACUUUCACACCCACCUUAAUGUUUA